rfam:Lachnospiraceae bacterium M18-1 genomic scaffold acPFy-supercont1.1, whole genome shotgun sequence.
AAUGACGCUUAGAAAUUAGCUUGUAUAAGUUCAUGAUUGGAUGAGCGUGUCUACCAACUGCCGUAACAGUUGACUACAAGUCUUCGGAAUACCCGA